rnacentral:rRNA from 1 species
GGAAGGUCCGGGCGUUAUCCGGAUUUAUUGGGUUUAAAGGGAGCGCAGGCGGACCUUUAAGUCAGCUGUGAAAUACGGCGGCUCAACCGUCGAACUGCAGUUGAUACUGGAGGUCUUGAGUGCACACAGGGAUGCUGGAAUUCAUGGUGUAGCGGUGAAAUGCUCAGAUAUCAUGAAGAACUCCGAUCGCGAAGGCAGGCAUCCGGGGUGCAACUGACGCUGAGGCUCGAAAGUGCGGGUAUCAAACAGGAUUAGAUACCCUGGUAGUUCGCACAGUAAACGAUGAAUACUCGCGGUUUGCGAUACAAUGUAAGCCGCCAAGUGAAAGCGUUAAGUAUUCCGCCUGGGGAGUACGCCGGCAACGGUGAAACUCAAAGGAAUUGACGG